rnacentral:lncRNA from 1 species
ACGUGAUUGGGGAGGUUUCUUCCCUGUAUUGCUGCCGGAUUAUACAACAACCCUAGUGCGUGCAAUGUCGGAAUGGCGCACGUCUGUGAUCGAGCUGCCAUCGGCGAUGACGAUCGUCGCUGCGAAUUUUGCAGCAAACUGUUCAUACAGAGGAAGAACAUGCUGCAACACAUCAGGAACGUUCACAAAAUGGCCGUGGAUGUCAAGAAAUUGAUGAAAUGCGACGUAUGUGGCACUUCCCUGCCUACAAUGGAGAAGUAUUCGGUGCACCAGAUCGCUGCGCACAACUUCGAGGCUGAUUACGUGCACCUGGUGGUCCGGAACAAUAAGGAAUUUCAUGAAUGGAAAGCAGAAGAAGAGGGUAGCCAAAACUGCUGGUUCAUUUUGCCCAGGGACCCCAAAAAGCUGGCCAGUGGAGAAACAAGGAUCCACUAUUACUGUAAUAGAUCAGGCGAGGCAAGGAAAAAGGAAGGUCAUAGUGACCGUCGGGAGAAAAGUCAGGGGAGCUGUAGGUCUGGUAAGAUAUGUCUUUCAUUUAUUACCGUCACAAUUACCGUCCGACACCUGAAGGCACCACCAUAAAAGUCAGGUAUCAAAGAAACCAUUACGGUCAUAAACCAGAAAUUCAGCACUUGAGAAUGAGUGACAAGGAAAAGGCCAGCGUAGCAGAGAACCUAGAAAGGGGUGUGCCCAUGAAAACCAUUCUAAAGCGAGUAAGAACAUCUGUGGCAUCCAAGCUGAGGCCCGUGCACUUGGCAGAGUGCUCAACCCUGCAUAACAUCAAACAGCAGUUUAACAUUGCUGCUCCUGAACAUUGUCACACUAAUGACGCUAUCAGUGUAGACAUGUGGGUGCUUGUGAUGAAAGAAAAAGGUGAAACACUUGUCCGCCUGUACAAGGCACAAGGUGCAGUGGACCCAAGUGGUACAUUUCCUUCAGCAGACUUUGCUCUUGUUCUGAUGACAGAGUCUCGGAAGGAGCUACUAGAAAAAUUGGGCCCUGCAGGUACUGUAUGUCUUGACUCCACACAUGGAACUACAGAGUACCAGUUUGAGCUGACCACUCUUCUGGUGCUAGAUAAAAUAGGAUCAGGUGUAGCUAUAGCUUAUUUCAUCUGCAACCGGAUGAACGAGCAAACUUUGACAGCAUUCUUCAAAUAUCUGGAGUCGGCCAUGGCCAAAAAAGUGGCUGCUAAGACAUUGAUAUCUGAUGAUGCGUCGCAAUUCUACAAAGCAUGGUCCAUGGUCAUGGGUGCCGCAAAACAGAAACUUCUCAGUGCCUGGCAUGUGGAUAACAAUUGGCGUAAGAAGAUACUCUAGUGUGUAGAGAAACAGCUAAGGCCACAUGUUUACCAUAGUGUGUGGCUACUCUUAGAGUUCCUCGGGGAAAAGGCAUUUGAAGAUUAUUUUAAGCAAUUCCUUUCUAGUGAGGAAGAAAAACUGAGGGACUUCCUGAAGUACUUCAAUGACCACUAUGCAGUUAGGCCGCAAGAGUGGGCCUAUUGCUUUAGGACUAGAGCAGCUGUCAACACUAACAUGCACCUUGAGAGCAAGCGCAGGAUGUUAAAGCAUACUAUGCUGGAGAGAAAACAGAAUAAGCAUGGUGACAAACUUAUUUCUGCCCUCAUGGACUUGACAAAUCAUUUUUUAAUGAAAAGGGCUAUCCAGAUGAUGAAAGGGGCAAAGGGUAAGAAGCUGAGCAGAAUUCAGAAGAACCACAGGUCUGGCAGUGAAAUGGCAGCUUGAGCCAAAUUAAAUGAAGAUGGCUGUGCCAAAUUAAAUGAAGAUGGCAUAUAGACUGUGCCAUCUCAGUCUAUUAAAGGGCUCUCAUAUAAAGUGUCAAAAGUGGGAGAUGGUGCUUGCUGUCCUUUGAGGUGUAAGGAAUGUGCAGUGUGUGUGCAUACUUACAUGUGCAUUUGCUAUGACCAUCUUAUACACUUUACAGUGUGCAAGCACAUUCACUGUGUGGUCAUCGCUAAUCCAACUAGCAGCAACAAGGCCCAUGAGAGCUCACCCGAAGAAGCAUGUGAGGCAAGUCGGGCAUUGCACAUUGUACAGAGUAUAACAAAGCUGGAAGCAGCCAAAGCAGUGUGAAGCUCAGCACUCUUAAGAGCAAAAAUGGACUCGGUCAGACAGGCAAUAUCAGAUGGUGAAGUCUCUGAGGGUGUGGCUGAGAAGGCAAACAAUUUUGCAAAUGAACCAGCCAACAAAAAAGUUGUGCACCUGUUAAGAUUUCACUCUACAAAAAACCCUAGAUUGUCGCAGCCAUCAUCUAGCCUUUCAAGGCCCACUGAAGCUCAAAAGGAAGUCCUUAAAUAACAGCUUAGGGACAGCAACAUAGAAACAAGAGAUAACCAUGUCAGCAGGGCACGAUUACUGGUAACAAGCCUCCAGUGCAGUUAGGAAGAGAGAAGUGGUGCAGUAGUGCUGUGCUGUCAUGCCUUUUUGAAGCAGGUUGAGGGCUCGCAUGUUAACAAAUCAUGACAUGUGGUCUCUGAUGAUUAGCCCGUCUGUUUUUGUCUGUGGUGUGCAGCCAUAUGUCACAGCUGGAUGGUAUGUGUGUUAGAGCACGAGAGAUGCCUCCAUGCUUGUUGUAUGAGCUGCUGGUAAGUGUUCUGUGAAGAUAGGUACAGACCCAGUGGUCAUCUCUGGUAUGUGGCAGCUGUUGGAUGGUAGUGUGUUAGAGCACGCCUCCAUGCUUGUCAUAUGAGCCGCUGGUAAGUAUGUCUGUACAUAGAUGUAAGGAAGUGCAUUGGAUGGUGUGUAGUGUUUCAGUGUGCAAAAGCCUCCAAUGUGUUUUGCUACUUAUAAAUUUGUGUAAACACUCAGUAGCGCAGUAGUUAUGAUGUUGCACUGUUGAGCACGAGCUUGCGGGUUCAAUCCCAGCAAAGGUGGCUGCAUUUCAGUGGUGGUGAAAUGAAAAAAAAAAGUGUGUAGUUGAAUUUAAGUGCACAUCACAAAACCCGAGGUGGUCAAAAAUAUUACUGAGUCCCGCACUGUGGCAUGCCUCAUAAUUCGAUCUAGAUUUUGUGUUCCAUGUGAUGUUCUUAUUGCCCAUUUGAAUAAACUUUUAUUUUUCAGAUUACCAAAAUAGAGGGCAUAUGCAGUGGUAUUGUGUGCAGUCUGGAUAAGUUGCUCUGGUCAUGAGCACUCAAUUAAAACUUCUGCAUAUUUGGCUGCAGCAGACAGUGUCAUAAUGAUUGUAAAGACUAUGCAGAAAGCUUUAGGCCACUCUACAUAUCAGAUCAGUUUUAUAUUGCAUCCCUUAUGGUGCAUCUCUUACUUGAGUAGGCAUAAUAACAAUUGGCAAUGCUUCCUUACACAUUUAAUAAUUUUCUUUUUUUCUUUUGGAAGAGUAGCCUUCGAAGAAUAAUCUACAACAGUGCUCCUACCUUCUCUUUCACUGUCUCCCCAUUUCUUUUCUACACUUCAACUUCAUUCUACGCACUUUCUUAUUCUCCUCUUCAUCCUACAUUGAGGGUGUGGGAAAGUGAGCUAAGCGUGCAUAAAGAUUGCUGUGCCGAACUUAAUUGCGGCACUGACGAAAACAAAUCUUUGUCAAAAGGUUCACUCCAGCUACAUUCCCCCUCCAAACACUGUUUAUCACUUCAAGCCUUCAUAUUCCUGUGAGCUUUUGUCUUGUUUAACAGUUGUAACAGUCAUACUAUUUAUUACUAUCAAUAGCCAGCAUACAUUUAGCGCUGCAAAGGGCUGUUUAGAAGAUGUGCGAGUUUCUACUUCCCUUAUGAUAAAUACUCCAGACAUUCAGUCUAUUUUAUGAAAAUCUUUCAAACAUUGCCAGUGAUGACCACCAUAUAGGUUAAUGUCGGCAUGGGACUGAGGCUUUCCCGCAAAAAGAACAGUUAUGUUGUGCUCAUAUCAUGUGACUGGCAGUUUCUGCUGUAAUUUUUGCACUUGUCAACUGCACUGUGAAGAGUUCAUUUCUGUGAAUAUGUGCUGGCCUGAUUCUUCUUGUUCACGCAUUUCAGAUCUUGUGCUAUGAGAUGAGGAGGUGUAAAAUAAAAACACCGUGUAGAUUUCACAAUGCCUUUAAGAAACCACGCGAAGCUUGGAGAUGAAGCAUUACAUGCACCUUGAACCAAGUGUCUGGACACAGCGAGUGAAAGUUGUUUUGUCAUGAGCGAGGGUGUCGGUGUUACUUGUAACUACCUUUAAAUAAAGGUUUGUUUCAAAACAGUG